UACGUAGGGUGCAAGCGUUGUUCGGAAUUACUGGGCGUAAAGCGCGCGUAGGCGGGCUAGAAAGUCGAUUGUGAAAUCCCUGGGCUCAACCUGGGAACUGCAGUCGAAACUCCUAGUCUUGAGUGCCUGAGAGGAUGGCGGAAUUCCCGGUGUAGUAGUGAAAUACGUAGAUAUCGGGAAGAACACCUGAGGCGAAGGCGGCUCUCUGGACAGGUACUGACACUGAGACGCGAAAGCGUGGGUAGCAAACAGG
rnacentral:rRNA from 1 species